UACGUAGGGUGCGAGCGUUGUCCGGAAUUAUUGGGCGUAAAGAGCUUGUAGGUGGUUUGUCGCGUCUGCUGUGAAAAUCCGAGGCUCAACCUCGGGCCUGCAGUGGGUACGGGCAGACUAGAGUGCGGUAGGGGAGAUUGGAAUUCCUGGUGUAGCGGUGGAAUGCGCAGAUAUCAGGAGGAACACCGAUGGCGAAGGCAAUCCCCUGGACCUGUACUGACGCUCAUGCACGAAAGGCGUGGGGAGCAAACAGGAUUAG
rnacentral:rRNA from 1 species